UCCUUCUUCUACUCUCUCGCAAACACUCGCAAACUGCGAGGCCGAAUUAUGGCGUCCGUUAGCAACCAGAUGGCGCUAAUCAUUUUAAUUUCUCACUAGCUUUGUAAUGUUGCUCACAGCAUUGUUUGAGUAACGCAAAGCUGCUUACGUAGACGAUAGAGAAUAACGUGCCGCGGAUAAUUGCAUGUCAUGGUUUUGAAGUUGGUAACAAGGAAACGGUCAUACGGUACUGCGGCUGAGUGAAACUGAACGCUAAAAGUGGCGGGAGCAGGACGGUUGUCCGUUCUUUGUAUUUAUGGCUUCCAUGAUGGCGGCGUGCGUCCGUGCGUAUUGCCGCAGUUUGAUGUACAAGUGAGAGACAUGGACGGCAGUAUAGGUAUGUUUGCUCUUUUUUAGGUAACGAUAGUUUGUCACGCAUUCUGUUUUUCAUAAUGCAGUGAAGUUUUGCAGCGUACGGACAUAAUUUUCUAGCAGUUCAGAGAGAACACGUUUGACAACGUAGAGAGCGUUUAGUGUGUUUUUCCCCAGUUUGAGGGUUCGUUAUGAAGACGUUUGACAAGUUGAGAAGUUGUUUGAGAACUCGCUACCAAGUCCAGAACAACACUGGGAUCAGUCAAUGAAGGAUUUGCCAAGUUACAGCAGCCUUCUAUCCAUCACAAGCUUUUGGCCUGAACGCAGACAUGAUUGCUCUCAGCAGAAGAUUACUCACUUCCAUCUUCUCAGUUCAGAGGAACAAGUCAGCGUCAUUUGCAAGGUAACCACAACAGUUCUUUCACAGCGGCCUGUCCUGCAGCAUCCCAAUGAACAACUACUGUACGACCCGUAUGGGAAUUUUUUUCAUGAGCAGAUCAACAAUGCCAAGGUUACCUCACGAAGAUCCGGGUGCCUCAAGCGUCUCUACCUUCUUGGGAGGGAAAUGAAAUAGACAACUAUGUCGUGACUGUACCACGCAUCGCGAGCUCAGGAACGUCACAAAUCAAGAGCAGCAUUUGGAAGCAACAAAGAGGACAUUUAAACUGUGUGUACUCAGAUACAUAGCUUUGUUUCGGUUACUUAGUUAGUAGUUACAAGCAUAUGCUGCCUUGCGCGUUAGAAAAAUGUAUUAAAAUUGCCUUUGUAGUAAGCUGUGUAUUUUUAUAGGGACACGCUACAUCAGACAUCAGCUCUGGAUUCAUGGUGUAAAAAUCUGAUACUAACACGGCAAAUUUUGAACUGUAAUUUUGAAAAUUUAAUUUCUCAUCAUGAGAAAAUGAUUAAAUUGCUUGUAAUUUGUAACAAAAGUUAUAGAUAAAACUUAACAUUUCAAGCGAAAAUGUGCUGUGGAUGUGCAAGCUAUCGUUCCUAUCUUUUUUAGUGUGGAAGUUGACAGGACUUGUGCGUACAAAAAUUCCCUAUGAAUCUUCGGGGCAAUCUCAGAAACGACAUUAUAUUAAUUCGCUUGUAUCUGUAUGUUGAUAUAUGCAUAGUUUGCUACAAGUGCUCUUAUUUGGGCACACCAGUGCCACACCUUACCUUUUUGGCUUCAACUUCUGAAUUCAAUUCGACUUGCCUUUUAAUAUAACCGGUGUCCCGUCUCUGUUUAGUGAUUCACUGUGCCGUAAUGAGGCUGACUGGGGAACGAAUCACUCGCUGUGACAAGCCAAACUGUUCUCUUUACGCAGAUAUGGUGUCAUGCUUACGGUAUUGCACAUGUCAUUUUCGUCUGUGCAAUGUUCCAAGUAAAUGUGAUUUGUAGGAUUUUGGAUUGCUAUAGGAACUGUGCAGUUGAUACUGUGCAGUUGCUGUGAUAUUUUGUUCCUUUGAAGCUCAAAUAUAUUUGAAACCAAUAAACUGACAGUUUUUCCCUGUAUAAAA